ensembl:lncRNA
CACAUCUCUACCUUUUGAGAGGUGGCCUCUCACUGAGCCUGAAAUACACUGACUAGCUACAAAGACUGGCCAGAGAGUUCCAGGAAUCCUCCUGUCUCUGACCCUAUAGUGGUGGGGUUACAUGCAUGUGCUGCAGCACCUGGAGUUUUAGGUGGGUACUGGGAAUCUGAACUCAGGUCUUUAGGUCUGCCCAUGCUGUCUCUCCAGCCCCUGUUCUGUAUUACCAGAGGCGUGGGAGAGGUGUGUCCUAUUUAGCUUAAAAGCAGCAAAUUACCAGGAAGAAAAUGCUAUACUUUCUGAUUCACACUUAAUCUUUUUGUGACAAAGCUUUCUGAUUUCAAUUAUAUUGCCAAGGCACUAAUUGUACCUGUGCAGAUUACCACUAAUUACUUAUAAUUUUAAAAGGCAAAAAUCACCCAUGAAUUGAAUCCAAAGCAGCAUGGAAAAUAUACUCCUGAUUAUAGGAUAUAAUCAUGAAGCGACUUCUAGGUAAUGUGUUACAUGAGUAACUUCUGACAACCGUAUCAUGAACCUGAACUCGUGCACUGAUCAUGGGCUUUAGCUAUGCCUGUCUCCUUACCAUUUAUGUAGAAAGUUUAGCUAUUGCAGGAAGCGGGAAGAGUGAACAAGCUAACAUCCUUCCAAUCACUGUGGUAAGUGCUUUACAUGCAAGGUCUAGUUUUAGAACCACCCCGUGAACGACAUAAAACUGUCCUACAUUUUCAGGUGAGGGAACAGUAGAAUUCAAGAUCUUGCCCAAAGCACCUAGCUGAAGUAAGAAUUUUUGCUUACAGAUUCUUCAACCCCACCUAAUGAAAUGCAAAUUGGCAAUCAUAAACUCUAUUGCCUACUUCCAUGUUGUAAGCAAUUAGUGCAAAAAUGAAACAAGGAAUUGCCUCUGAGCUGGUGAUUACUGCAGUCAAGGAUGGCUCCAUUCUCUAAAGGACUGAAGUCCGUUGUGCAUUCUCUCCUGUGGAGGAGCAGCGAAGGACCGGUUUCAGUAGACGGUUCUUUGAGAAACUCAGUAAGGUGUGGACAGGAGGAGAGAAAGACAAACACAUCACCAACUCUUCCAGAAGGUCCUUCCAUCCAUGCUGACUCCUUUAACCACAAGGGGGAGCCCUCAGAGUGAGUGCUGUUGUCUGACUCUUGGAUGUGGACUCCUCAAUACUGAAGAUGAACCGGUUCCAGUCUGCACCACAGCAAUUGAGGGGCAGAGCCACGUUUGUUCCCUUUCUGACUUAUCCUUUGCUGACCACACGGCUUAGCUCCUGUUAGUCCCCAUUGUGAUGGAAGGAGGGGAAUAAUGAACUGAAUAUUUCCUUAUAAGGAACGUUCUUUUCAGGUAAGAGAGGAAUCAGCCGGAUUUAUGAGCCCACACAACCUUCUGCUUCCUAGGUGCCCCCUAAAGUUGCCUUUAAAACGUCUGGAAGAGGCUUCUGCCAAAUGUUUAUCUAUAAGUUUUUAAUUUAAUAUUUUAUGUUGUCAAAAAUAGGACUUUAAGAGCUCCCACAGGCUAAGCCACUGCUCUAUCAGCAAGCCACACCUCAGCUCAUGGCUUUCCUUUGUAAAGGCUUACUUAGGUCAGUUAAUCUUUUGAAUAUGCGUAAAGCACAAGAUAGCUAUAAAAAGCAGUUCUGAGCCGGGCGUGGUGGCGCGCACCUUUAAUCCCAGCACUAGAAAGGCAGAGGCAGGUAGAUUUCUGAGUUUGAGGCCAGCCUGGUCUACAAAGUGAGUUCCAGGACAGCCAGAGCUACACAGAGAAAUCCUGUCUCAAAAAAACCA